rnacentral:rRNA from 1 species
GAUGAACGCUGGCGGCGUGCCUAAUACAUGCAAGUCGAGCGAAAAGACGAGGAGCUUGCUCCUCUGACGUUAGCGGCGGACGGGUGAGAAACACGUGGAUAACCUACCUAUAAGUCUGGGAUAACUUCGGGAAACCGGAGCUAAUACCGGAUAAUAUACUGCACCGCAUGGUUCAAUAGUGAAAGACGGCUUUGCUGUCACUAAUAGAUGGAUCCGCGCCGCAUUAGCUAGUUGGUAAGGUAACGGCUUACCAAGGCAACGAUGCGUAGCCGACCUGUCAGAGUGGUCGGCCACACUGGAGCUGGAACGCGGACCAGGCGCCUACGAGAGGCAGCAGUAGGGAAUCGGCCGCAGUGGGCGAGAACUUGGCGGAGCGGCGCCACGUGAGUGGUGGAGGUCUUCGGAUCGUAAAACUCUGUUAUGAGGUAAGAACAGAUGUGGAAGGAACUAUGCACGUCGUGACGGUACCUGGUCAGAAAGCCACGGCUAACUACGUG